GAUGAACGCUAGCGACAGGCCUAACACAUGCAAGUCGAGGGGCAGCAUGGAAGUAGCUUGCUACUUCUGAUGGCGACCGGCGCACGGGUGCGUAACAGGUGUGCAAUCUGUCCAUAAUCGGGGAAUAGCCCAGCGAAAGUUGGAUUAAUGCUCCAUGUGAGUUUUAGAGGCAUCUCUUUGACUUGAAACGCAAGGAUUAUGGGUGAGCACGCUUCUGAUUAGGUAGUUGGUGAGGUAACGGCUCACCAAGCCGACGAUCAGUAGGGGUUCUGAGAGGAAGGUCCCCCACAUUGGAACUGAGACACGGUCCAAACUCCUACGGGAGGCAGCAGUGAGGAAUAUUGGUCAAUGGACGGAAGUCUGAACCAGCCAAGUCGCGUGAAGGAUGAAGGUUCUAUGGAUUGUAAACUUCUUUUGUCUGAGGGUAAAAAAGCGGACGUGUCCGUUCUUGCAAGUAUCAGACGAAUAAGCAUCGGCUAACUCCGUGCCAGCAGCCGCCGUAAUAC
rnacentral:rRNA from 1 species